UUGUAUACAUGUGCAUUCCAUUGCGCACAGAUGGGCAUGGCUCUAUGUGCCCUAUGCGUGAGCCAUCAACAUAGUAAGCUUGCACGGUAGGCUUGCACGAAGUGCCCUGUGAGUUGUAGUCCCACACCCAGGCUACGCUUGCAAUGCACAAUCGACUAGGGCUGUGUGUAGCUGCCUCAAGUAGGGCACGCCACCCUUUUGGGCGUCAUACAUCCCUUGGAAGAUGAGCCACCAUUGGCUUGAGCACGUGCUGUUAUUGUUUGGGCGACAUGCCGUUACGGAUUGGGUGGUAUGCCU
rnacentral:lncRNA from 1 species